rnacentral:rRNA from 1 species
AAUGAACGUUGGCGGCGUGGAUUAGGCAUGCAAGUCGAACGGGAGUAGCAAUACUCUAGUGGCGAAAGGGACAGUAAUACGUAGAUACGUACCCUCCGGCCUGGGAUAGUCCACCGAAAGGUGGGGUAAUACCAGAUGAUGUCUCCGGACCAAAGGUGUGAUUCCACCGGGGGAGCGGUCUGCGUCCUAUUAGCUUGUUGGCGGGGUAAUGGCCCACCAAGGCGAUGAUGGGUAGCGGGUGUGAGAGCACGACCCGCGUCAUUGGGACUGAGACACUGCCCAGACACCUACGGGUGGCUGCAGUCGAGGAUCUUCGGCAAUGAGCGCAAGCUUGACCGAGCGACGCCGCGUGCGGGAUGAAGGCUUUCGGGUUGUAAACCGCUGUCAGUGGGGAGGAAAUUGAGGUGGGUACUCUCAUCUCAUUGACCUAUCCGCAGAGGAAGCAAGGGCUAAGUUCGUGCCAGCCGCCGCAGUAAUAC